AGUGAACGCUGGCGGUAGGCCUAACACAUGCAAGUCGAACGGCAGCACAGGAGAGCUUGCUCUCUGGGUGGCGAGUGGCGGACGGGUGAGGAAUACAUCGGAAUCUACUCUGUCGCGGGGGAUAACGUAGGGAAACUUACGCUAAUACCGCAUACGACCUACGGGUGAAAGCAGGGGACCUUCUGGCCUUGCGCGAUUGAAUGAGCACAGGUCGGAUUCGCUAGUUGGCGGGGUAAAGGCCCACCAAGGGGACGAGCCGUAGCUGGUCUGAGAGGAUGAUCAGCCACACUGGAACUGAGACACGGUCCAGACUCCUACGGGAGGCAGCGGUGGGGAAUAUUGGACAAUGGGCGCAAGCCUGAUCCAGCCAUACCGCGUGGGUGAAGAAGGCCUUCGGGUUGUAAAGCCCUUUUGUUGGGAAAGAAAUCCAGCUGGCUAAUACCCGGUUGGGAUGACGGUACCCAAAGAAUAAGCACCGGCUAACUUCGUGCCAGCAGCCGCCGUAA
rnacentral:rRNA from 1 species